ACUGAGAGGAGAAAAUUAAUUAAUCUUAAACUUGGUGCCCAACUAUUACGGGGUCUGGCUCUGUCACCCAGGCUGGAGUGCAGUGGCAUGAUUAUGGCUCAUUGCAGCCUCGACUUCUCGGGGCCAAGCGAUCCUCCUGCCUCAGCCUUCUGAGUAGCUGGGACCACAGGCGUGCACCACCAUGCCCACCUAAUUUUUUAUUUCUUGUAGAGAUGAGGUCUCCUGCCUCAGCCUCCCAAAGUGCUGGAAUUUACAGGUAGGACCACCACACUUGGUCCACUUACUUAUAAUAAACAUUGAUUUGGUCAUUCAGGUUC
rnacentral:sRNA from 1 species